GUGGGGAAUAUUGGACAAUGGGCGAAAGCCUGAUCCAGCCAUGCCGCGUGUGUGAAGAAGGUCUUCGGAUUGUAAAGCACUUUAAGUUGGGAGGAAGGGCAGUAAGUUAAUACCUUGCUGUUUUGACGUUACCGACAGAAUAAGCACCGGCUAACUUCGUGCCAGCAGCCGCGGUAAUACGAAGGGUGCAAGCGUUAAUCGGAAUUACUGGGCGUAAAGCGCGCGUAGGUGGUUUUGUAAGUUGGAGGUGAAAUCCCCGGGCUCAACCUGGGAACUGCAUCCAAAACUGCAUGACUAGAGUACGGUAGAGGGUAGUGGAAUUUCCUGUGUAGCGGUGAAAUGCGUAGAUAUAGGAAGGAACACCAGUGGCGAAGGCGACUACCUGGACUGAUACUGACACUGAGGUGCGAAAGCGUGGGGAGCAAACAGGAUUAGAAACCCCGGUAGUCC
rnacentral:rRNA from 1 species